UGGAAGUCUAUGAGCUUCCUGGUUCAUUCAGGACAAGAACCUGCAGCAGGAUUACCUGGACGCCCUGACUAUCCUGACAAACAUCCUGAGCAGCCAGCAGCACUUGGCCUGUGGAUUCAGUUUCCCCCAGAAACUGUCAGUAAUAAACCUAAUGGUGGAGCUGAUCAGCGAGGAGCCAUUGGACUCCAUCUCCAGCCCCAUGAGACAGAAGGCAAUGAACAUCAUCGCUGACUUCAGGAUGCUGGGGCCCCUCUUAGAGGUGGAACAAGGAACAGAGCUGCUCCGAUUGUGCUUCAGGAGUGUGUUCUGCCUGCCACCUGCAGACGUGUUGCAAAAGAACGCAUA